UACAUGUGGGGCAAGCGUUGUUCGGAAUUACUGGGCGUAAAGCGUGCGCAGGCGGUGAUGUAAGACAGUUGUGAAAUCCCCGGGCUCAACCUGGGAACUGCAUCUGUGACUGCAUCGCUGGAGUGCGGCAGAGGGGGAUGGAAUUCCGCGUGUAGCAGUGAAAUGCGUAGAUAUGCGGAGGAACACCGAUGGCGAAGGCAAUCCCCUGGGCCUGCACUGACGCUCAUGCACGAAAGCGUGGGGGAGCGAACAGG
rnacentral:rRNA from 1 species